rnacentral:Y_RNA from 1 species
GACUGGUCCAAAGGUAGGAAGUUAUCUCAAUUGAUUGUUCAUAGUCAGUUAGAGAUCGAACUCCUUGUUGUACUCUUUUCCCCCCCUUUUACUACUGCACUUGACUAAAAA